UACAGACGAGCUCUAUGUUGAUACAGAACGUAUCUAACUCAAACAGAAAACACAACCAGAAGCCAAGAUGAGAGUAUUAUUCAUAUUUGUCUUUUUCUUCAUGGCAAUUGCUGCAGUUUUCGGCAGUCCUGCUUCUUCAGUAGAAGAUCAUCCAGUACAUCGAGUUGUAAGAGCCGAUAAACCACCUUACUUGCCUAGACCAACACCACCAAGGCCAAUCCAUUAAAAUGCUGCCACUCCAGACAUUCUGAUAUACCAACUUCAUCGAGGAAUGUUAAUUAUUUUUUUGUUAUCUGCUCGAAUAAAGUGUGAUUUAUUAAAUACA